AACGUAGGAGGCGAGCGUUAUCCGGAUUUACUGGGCGUAAAGCGCACGCAGGCGGUCCCGCCAGUCGGACGUGAAAGCUCCUGGCUCAACUAGGAGAGGUCGUUCGAUACUGUGGGGCUUGAGGUUGGGAGAGGGGUGUGGAAUUCCCGGUGUAGUGGUGGAAUGCGUAGAUAUCGGGAGGAACACCUGUGGCGAAAGCGGCACCCUGGCCCACACCUGACGCUGAGGUGCGAAAGCGUGGGGAGCAAAC
rnacentral:rRNA from 1 species